UACGUAGGGGGCAAGCGUUGUCCGGAAUCAUUGGGCGUAAAGAGCGUGUAGGCGGCCAGGUAGGUCUGGUGUGAAAACUCGAGGCUUAACCUCGAGAUGUCAUCGGAAACCAUCUGGCUAGAGUCCGGAAGAGGAGAGUGGAAUUCCUGGUGUAGCGGUGAAAUGCGCAGAUAUCAGGAAGAACACCCGUGGCGAAGGCGGCUCUCUGGGACGGUACUGACGCUGAUGCGCGAAAGCGUGGGGAGCGAACAGG
rnacentral:rRNA from 1 species